AGACAAUUAACUUUCCAUCUGGAAUUGACCUUUGAGGUAUCAUCAGGAAAGGCUUCAUGAAGAUAGUGAAACUACAACAACCCCUUGAAAGUUACAGAUGGAGCUGAAUAAAGGGCUGUAGUCUUCUAAUUGAUUGUCUUCAUCUUGACUUCCUGUUUGGCUAAAAUGUAAAAUAAAGACUUUGUGGACUGCAUGCUCUUUGUCUCAACAACUCAACUCGACUGCUGUAAGGUUAAUGCGGCCAUAGACAGUAUACAAACAAAUGGGCAUGGCUGUGUUCCAAUAAAACUUUAUUUAUUGACACUGAAAUUUUAAUUUCAUAUAAUUUUCACAUGUCACGAAUAUUAUUCUUUUGAUUUUUCCUGAACAUUUAGACAUGUAAAAACCGUUCAUAGCUUGCAGGCCAUAAAAAUGUUUGCUGGCCAGAUUUUUUUGGUUUUUACUGACUGAAACUCUUACGGUUAUAGUGGUAUAAUUAAGAUGCUGCUUAUAUUAUUGCCACCAAAAAUGCUCUCU